UUCUUCACUCUCCUCUUUCACUUUCAUCAAGAGGCUCUUUAAUUCUCCAUUUUCUGCCAUAAGAGUGGUGUCAUCUGCGUAUGUGAGAUUAUUGAUAUUUCUAACAAUCUUAACUCCAGCUUAUGCUUCUUCCACCCCAGCAUUUCUCAUGAUGUACUCUACAUAUAAGUUAAAUAAGCACAGUGACAAUAUACAGCCUUGACGUACUCCUUUCCCAAUUUAGAACAAGAUCAUUGUUCCAUGUCUGGUUCUAACUGUUGCUUCUUGACCUGCAUACAGAUUUCUCAGGAGGCAGGUAAGGUGGCCUGGUAUUCCUAUCUCUGAGAAUUUUCCGGUUUGCUGUAAUCCGCACAGUCAAAGGCUAUAGCGUAGUCAAUGAAGCAGAAGUAGAUGUUUUUUCUGAAAUUCUCUUGCUUUUUCUAUGAUCCAACAGAUGUUGGCAAUUUGAUCUGUCUCUGCUGCCUUUUCUAAAUCCAGCUUGAGCAUCUGGAAGUUCUCGGCUCACGCACUACAGGGCCACAGUAACAGCUGCUACCACUGGGUCCUUCAACCCAGGCGCCGUUGCUUUGCUUUGCUUUCUCUGCAAGGUAAGAGGAGUAAGCAGAGACGUGCUGGAAAAUACGUGAUCACUGGUUCUAUGGAAACACAAAAUCCCUGAUUCAUAGCAUCUGCCAGUUUCUCUGCAGAAAUGCUGCCAAUUACGGACGACUCCAAGCUGCCGCGUGACGUCACCAGUCAGCGAGGGGACGAGCCGGGCGCUGGCUCUCGCCGUGUUUUGCUGAUGGAGACACAGAGGCACUAAAAGCCCCAGACUUUCCAAACCAGUGUCCUCGCCGGGAAAAGCCGAGCGGGCACCUUCUGACUCCAGCAGGUCCACUGUGGGUGAGAAGGUCCCCGGAGAGGCGACUGCCCAGGACUGUGGCUCUGCAAGAUGGGAAGGUGGACUGUUCAGGCUGCCUGGAAGGUCAGCACAUUUUAAUAUCUUAUUUUUCUUCCAAAAUUGGCCCAAGUCAGUUUCUGCUGCAGCUGAGAAUGUCGCCUGGAGGAGGGAUGACCCAAGAAUGGCUCCCCAGGUGACCUCAGGGGUGGGACCCAGGAUGUGACAGAGGCUAACGCAGUGAGGGUCACCACCUCCCACCUCACAGCUCAGUCUUCUGCUUGAGCAUCAUGAGUCCUUGCAGUCCAGGGUGGCG
rnacentral:lncRNA from 1 species